AAGUUCCGGGGAUCUUAACUCCAUUUCCAAGUUUGCAACUUGACGUAAUUCUACUACAGAACU
rnacentral:tRNA from 1 species